rnacentral:lncRNA from 1 species
GGAGGAGCUAGUCCUCCCAGGCCCAUAGGAGCAUCCUGAUUAGGCAUAACUAGUUACCUGUGCUUGAGAGUAAUUAAUGACCACAGGAUCAAGUGGCUGCUGCCAUUGGCAUUUUGCAGGAAUGAAUUCUACAAAGACCAUGAUUUGGAAUAUCUUCCUCUAAGUGCCCUGGAUUGCUCACAGAAAGAAAAUGACUGGGCAGGACAUGGCUGCACACCUGGAGUCCCAACUGCUCCAGAGGCUAUGACUUCUUUGGAGUCCUGUCAUCUAAGCUACAAUAAAGCUUUGUUCUUCAUUGGAAAAAUCUUGCUGGAAAAUCUGAAUCUAGCUGUGGUGUUGUAAUAUAGGUGGGUUGGGCUGCCUUCAAAAGGUUGAGACACAAAGGGCUAUUUCAUUUAAGAAAAAUAGAGUGUCUUGGAAUCAUUUCCUUAGACUAGGGUGGGUCCCAGUGGCAAUUAUGGUGGUGGAGCCUUUGCUUCCAGACAGCCUCGGUGAAAGCAGGCAUUGUCUAUGCCCAUGACUGGAAGAGCUUAGAGGUACCUGAAAAUUGGCAUGGUUGUUAAAUAAAUCACAGUGUCUCUUCUCUUUACCUUUGCCUUUAAAAUAAUAAUCCACCAUGUUAAAAAUGGUAAAGUACAACUUUUCUGAUUCCAUUCUUUAAGAACUCAGUUAUAUAUAAAAUCAAUGGAAAAAUAACAUUAUUCUAUUUUUUCUUGUCUUUUUUAAUACAAAAAUUUUCAUGAAUCUAUUUUUCCAUGUCUGCCUUUUAAUUUAUAAUAUAUUCUGUGGUUUACUUAUUAAUUCUAUAAUUGUUAUAUAUUUGAGUUGUUAGUAGUUGUUGAUAUAUUGUGCAACUAUUUCAUACAAAUAAUGUUGCUCUACCUUAAGAAUAAGUAAAUAAAAUGAAUUGUUGGCGCAAUCUAUAAAACCAAACAUUAAAAAAACAUAUUAAAGAGAUAACUCAUUGAAUUUUAAGAACAUAUUACAUAAAACAAUAAUAAUAUGUGUGCCAGGCAAUGUUCUAAGUGACUUACAUAUAUUCACUUUUAAUCCUUAGAACAGUCUCAUAGAAGACUAUUCUAUGGGACUAAAUGGGAUAAAAAUGGAAACUAUUUUUUAUCCCAUUUUACAGAUAAAACUGAAGCACAGAAAAAUAAAGCAACUUGUCCAAGGUCACACAGAUAUUAUGCAAAAGAGCUGAUAUUCUAACUCAGGCUCUCUGGUAUCAGAGUACACCCUCUCAACCAUUAUACUACCUUGCCUCUGUAAUGAGUAUACAAAUUGCGAAAGUUUUUCAUACAAAGUGGGUCAUUCUUCUUUAUCAUACAAAUUGAAUGAAGAGGCCAAGGGUAAAAGUACUCAGGGCACAAAAUAUUGCUCCAAAAAUGUAAUUUUCUGCAAGCCUGGCAGCUGAAGCUGCCUGCUGUAACUUGAAAACAGUUUCAUCUAAUGACUACCGAAACAACCUGUUACAAUUCUAAGACUAGUUUUGCCCACUGCCAUCGCUCACCAAUCAGAACUUGCCAGCUCCUCAGAACCUGCCAGUGAAAUUUCUCAAACAGCAAUAUGCAAUAUUUCUCCUUCCUAUAAAACCUCUAACCUCUUUUUCCUUGGGACUCACUAAAGACCUUCCAGUCUGCGUGUAUGCCCUGAACUGUGAUUCUUUUCUCCCAAAUAAAGCAUUUUCAUUUUAGGGAUUUG